GCUUACUGAAGAGGGGAAAACUUAUGCUGCUGUAGGUUCUCCUGAAUUUCAGCUUUUCUCAGCAGUACCACCGGAGGGAAUUGCGCGGGAAGAGUUGCAGAAAAAAUUGGAUCCUGCAGUUUAUAAAAUUGGUUGCCAGCAAGCUAUAAAGAACAAGUGGGUGGAGAUGGCAAAGACACAUGUCUCAAGGAAGGUCCAACAUGCUGAUGACAAAGUUAAAAAUUUGCUGUUGCGGAUACAAAAUGACGAGGCUGUCAAUCAGGAGGAUAUUGAUGCUCUAAAGCGAAGAAAACUAAUAAUUCAGCAGGUUUGGAAAGGAAAUUCCGUAAGAAAAGGUCCCGAAUAUGCCCCAAAAAGGAAAAGAGCAGCCACUGAUCUCACUCGGGAAAAUUUACAGAGGGGUGAUUGGAAGGAAUUGGAAUUUAAAGAGUACAACUUCAGUGCUAAAGGUCAGCCUGUCGAAGGCGGCCAUCUUCAUCCAUUGCUCAAGGUUAGGCGGCAGGUACAAACAAUUUUUCUUAAUAUGGGGUUUGAGGAGAUGCCAACGAAUAAUUAUGUCGAAAGCAGUUUUUGGAAUUUCGAUGCACUUUUCCAGCCCCAACAGCACCCUGCCCGUGAUUCACAUGAUACUUUCUUUUUGAAAGUACCUUCCUCUACAAAGAUGCUUCCAGAAGAUUAUGUUGAGCGGGUAAAAGAAAUUCAUGAAUCUGGUGGUUACCAAUCUAGGGGAUAUGGGUAUGAUUGGAAAAGAGAGGAAGCGAACAAGAAUCUUUUGCGGACACACACUACUGCUGUUUCGUCAAGAAUGUUGUAUGCAUUAGCGAAGAAGCCAUUCGCCCCCAAGAAAUACUAUUCUAUUGAUCGUGUUUUCAGAAAUGAAGCA
rnacentral:misc_RNA from 1 species